CUACAAAGUAAGAUAACACAGAAAUUCUAGAAAGCCCCUAAAACUUGAGCCAAUCAGAAUUGUACCCGUACUAGCACCCCUAACUGAUGUAGCCUUGUGGUUUUUUCCUUUAAAAACUGAGCUUGCAGAGGGGCGGGCACCUCCUCCAGCCUCUACUAUAUUGGAUGACUUGUCGAUGUCCUUGCUGUGUGGCUUAAACUGCUUCAAUAAACCUUGCUUUUGCAUUUUGGUGAGUUCGUGUCUCUGGUGGUCUCUUUGGGGGUCUCACACCCAGGGCACAACAUUUGGCGGCUCGUCUAGGAUUUGGGGGGAGCCCAGAGACCCCGCAACCCGAAGGUUUACAACGGCUGAUCGGGAAAAAUACUCUACCUUAUGGGCCUGAUGGCGGAAGAAAAUUAAUGCUGUUCUGACUAGUGCCUCCAACACUAUGGAAUCCUGGAUUUCCAUUUGGCUGGCAGUCACCUCCAAGCUUCAGUUGCUGACUAUACUGCUCCUGAUGACUAUGAACUCUGGACUUGCUAAAAGCUGAUAUGGACCAUCCCAGCCGAUGUGACUGUUUCCUGUCUCUACAUGGUCAGAUAGUCACAUGCUUACAAAUGCCCCAUUGCCCACCCUUUUACUAGCCUUUCAGCCUUUGACUAGCCUUAAAGCCUUUUGCGGGCCCUGACAAUGGCGCCCUUUUGCCAGCUCGAAGCAUUUCCAGAAGAGACUAUGUCAUCCCAUGCUCCCUGUCCAGAAUAAAGUUGAAAUGCUGGGUCAAAAGGAAAUUCCCUGGCAUAGAGAAAUCGUGACUGAGAGACCAGCCAGGGAUGGUUCAAGUCCUGGUUCAACAGUUCUCCCUGGUUAACUACUUUAAUUUCCACCCUAAUGGGCCCAUUAAUAGUCUUGCUUCUGAUACUAACCCUCAGGCCAUCUAUCCUCAACCGGCUGCUCCAAUACAUGAGACAGAGGCUGGGUACAAUUCAGCUCAUGGUACAAAAACCACAAAAAAUAAUGCCCAUGGAGCCCAGGGACACCUAUGAGCUGGCCAUUAGGAACCCAUCACUGGGUUCCAUUAGGCACAUGAGAAGGGGGAAAUGAAGAUCCAAAGCACCCCCAUUUCAAGUAAGCCCCUCACCCCAGCUUGAAACAGGCCUGAGUUUGAAAAUUCUUACAGCUGCUGACAUAGGUUCCAGGACAAAGUCAGGAUGUAUGAAGAGCCAUCUGGUAGCAACUGAAUAACCAUAGAAUGCUCCAAUGCCGGAGAUAGUCUAUAAAGUUUGACAAACAACCAGUCAAUACUACAAAGUAAGAUAACACAGAAAUUCUGGAAAGCCCCUAAAACUUGAGCCAAUCAGAAUUGUACUCGUACUAGCACCCCUAACUAAUGUAGCCUUAUGGAUUUUUCCUUUAAAAA